CCCUUAGAUGUCCUGGGCUGCACGCGUGCUACAAUGGCGCUUGCAACAAGUCUUGCCAACCCGAUAGGGUGAGCGGAUCUUUGAAGAGGCGUCGUGAUCGGGACAGUUGAUUGCAAUUAUUCGACUCGAACGAGGAAUUCCUUGUAAUCGCGAUUCAUCAUAUCGCGCUGAAUACGUCCCUGCCCUUUGUACACACCGCCCGUCGCUCCUACCGAUUGAGCGAUCCGGUGAAUGUUUUGGACUGGCGUCAGAAGCGGUUCGCUCCUGACACUACGAAAUUUUGUAAACCUUAUCGCUUAGAGGAAGGAAAAGUCGUAACA
rnacentral:rRNA from 1 species